rnacentral:ribozyme from 13 species
AGAGCAGAAAGAGAGAUAAGACUCGGUGGGCGAGGGAUAUGGUCUUGUUGCAGGAGGGAUUGUUUUUUUUAAUAUUUUUUUUCUUUUUCCUUUUUCUUUUUCUUUUUCUGGAAAAUUUA